rnacentral:rRNA from 1 species
GAUGAACGCUAGCUACAGGCUUAACACAUGCAAGUCGAGGGGCAGCAUGGUCUUAGCUUGCUAAGGCCGAUGGCGACCGGCGCACGGGUGAGUAACACGUAUCCAACCUGCCGUCUACUCUUGGACAGCCUUCUGAAAGGAAGAUUAAUACAAGAUGGCAUCAUGAGUCCGCAUGUUCACAUGAUUAAAGGUAUUCCGGUAGACGAUGGGGAUGCGUUCCAUUAGAUAGUAGGCGGGGUAACGGCCCACCUAGUCUUCGAUGGAUAGGGGUUCUGAGAGGAAGGUCCCCCACAUUGGAACUGAGACACGGUCCAAACUCCUACGGGAGGCAGCAGUGAGGAAUAUUGGUCAAUGGGCGAGAGCCUGAACCAGCCAAGUAGCGUGAAGGAUGACUGCCCUAUGGGUUGUAAACUUCUUUUAUAAAGGAAUAAAGUCGGGUAUGCAUACCCGUUUGCAUGUACUUUAUGAAUAAGGAUCGGCUAACUCCGUGCCAGCAGCCGCGGUAAUACGGAGGAUCCGAGCGUUAUCCGGAUUUAUUGGGUUUAAAGGGAGCGUAGAUGGAUGUUUAAGUCAGUUGUGAAAGUUUGCGGCUCAACCGUAAAAUUGCAGUUGAUACUGGAUAUCUUGAGUGCAGUUGAGGCAGGCGGAAUUCGUGGUGUAGCGGUGAAAUGCUUAGAUAUCACGAAGAACUCCGAUUGCGAAGGCAGCCUGCUAAGCUGCAACUGACAUUGAGGCUCGAAAGUGUGGGUAUCAAACAGGAUUAGAUACCCUGGUAGUCCACACGGUAAACGAUGAAUACUCGCUGUUUGCGAUAUACAGCAAGCGGCCAGGCGAAAGCGUUAAGUAUUCCACCUGGGGAGUACGCCGGCAACGGUGAAACUCAAAGGAAUUGACGGGGGCCCGCACAAGCGGAGGAACAUGUGGUUUAAUUCGAUGAUACGCGAGGAACCUUACCCGGGCUUAAAUUGCAGAUGAAUUACGGUGAAAGCCGUAAGCCGCAAGGCAUCUGUGAAGGUGCUGCAUGGUUGUCGUCAGCUCGUGCCGUGAGGUGUCGGCUUAAGUGCCAUAACGAGCGCAACCCUUGUUGUCAGUUACUAACAGGUCAUGCUGAGGACUCUGACAAGACUGCCAUCGUAAGAUGUGAGGAAGGUGGGGAUGACGUCAAAUCAGCACGGCCCUUACGUCCGGGGCUACACACGUGUUACAAUGGGGGGUACAGAGGGCCGCUACCACGCGAGUGGAUGCCAAUCCCAAAAACCUCUCUCAGUUCGGACUGGAGUCUGCAACCCGACUCCACGAAGCUGGAUUCGCUAGUAAUCGCGCAUCAGCCACGGCGCGGUGAAUACGUUCCCGGGCCUUGUACACACCGCCCGUCAAGCCAUGGGAGCCGGGGGUACCUGAAGUGCGUAACCGCGAGGAGCGCCCUAGGGUAAAACUGGUGACUGGGGCU